rnacentral:rRNA from 1 species
AUUGAACGCUGGCGGCAUGCCUUACACAUGCAAGUCGAACGGUAACAGGUCUUCGGAUGCUGACGAGUGGCGAACGGGUGAGUAAUACAUCGGAACGUGCCCGAUCGUGGGGGAUAACGGAGCGAAAGCUUUGCUAAUACCGCAUACGAUCUACGGAUGAAAGCAGGGGACCGCAAGGCCUUGCGCGGACGGAGCGGCCGAUGGCAGAUUAGGUAGUUGGUGGGAUAAAAGCUUACCAAGCCGACGAUCUGUAGCUGGUCUGAGAGGACGACCAGCAACACUGGGACUGAGCAACGGCCCAGACUCCUACGGGAGGCAGCAGUGGGGAAUUUUGGACAAUGGGCGAAAGCCUGAUCCAGCCAUGCCGCGUGCAGGAUGAAGGCCUUCGGGUUGUAAACUGCUUUUGUACGGAACGAAAAGACUCUUUCUAAUAAAGAGGGUCCAUGACGGUACCGUAAGAAUAAGCACCGGCUAACUACGUGCCAGCCGCCGCCGUAACAC